GACGAACGCUGGCGGCGUGCUUAACACAUGCAAGUCGAACGGAAAGGCCCUGCUCUUGUGGGGUGCUCGAGUGGCGAACGGGUGAGUAACACGUGAGUAACCUGCCCCUGUCUUUGUGAUAACUUCAGGAAACAGGGGCUAAUACCGGAUAGGAUCUCUUGCUGCAUGGUGUGGGUUGGAAAGUUUCGGCGGUUGGGGAUGGACUCGCGGCUUAUCCGCUUGUUUGUGGGGUAGGGGCUUACCAAGGCUUUGACGGAUAGCCGGCCUGAGAGCGUGACCGGCCACAUUGGGACUGAGAUACGGCGCAGACUCCUACGGGACGCAGCAGUGGGGAAUCUUGCACAAUGGGCGGAAGCCUGAGACAGCAACGCCGCGUGCGGGAUGACGGCCUUCGGGUUGUAAACAGAUUUCGCCUGUGACGAAGCGUGAGUGACGGUAAUGGGUAAAGAAGCACCGGCUAACUACGUG
rnacentral:rRNA from 1 species